AACGUCGUGAGACAGUUCGGUCCCUAUCUGCCGUGGGCGCUGGAGAAUUGAGGGGGGCUGCUCCCAGUACGAGAGGACCGGAGUGGACGCAUCACUGGUGUUCGGGUUGUCAUGCCAAUGGCACUGCCCGGUAGCUAAAUGCGGAAGAGAUAA
rnacentral:rRNA from 1 species